UACGUAGGGUGCGAGCGUUAAUCGGAAUUACUGGGCGUAAAGCGUGCGUAGGCGGUUCGUUAAGUUCGUUGUGAAAGCCCCGGGCUCAACCUGGGAACUGCAAUGGAAACUGGCGGGCUUGAGUGUGGCAGAGGGGGGUGGAAUUCCGCGUGUAGCAGUGAAAUGCGUAGAGAUGUGGAGGAACACCGAUGGCGAAGGCAGCCCCCUGGGCUGAGAUUGACGCUCAGGCACGAAAGCGUGGGGAGCAAACAGG
rnacentral:rRNA from 1 species